rnacentral:rRNA from 1 species
GACGAACGCUGGCGGCGUGCCUAACACAUGCAAGUCGAACGGAAAGGCCCUGCUUUUGCGGGGUGCUCGAUUGGCGAACGGGGGAGUAACACGUGAGUAACCUGCCCUUGACAUUGUGAUAACUUUAGGAAACUGGGGCUAAUACAGGAUAGGAGCUCCUGCUGCAUGGUGGGGGUUGGAAAGUGUCGGCCGUUGUGGAUGGUCUCGCGGCUUAUCAGCUGGUUGGUGGGGUAGUGGCUUACCACGGCUUCGACGGGUAGCCGACCUGGGAGGUGGACCAGCCACAUUAGGACUGCGAGACGCCCCAGUCUCCUACGGGAGGCAGCGGUGGAGAGUAUUACACAGUGGGGGGGAGCCAGAUGCGGCAACGCCGCGUGCGGGAUGACGGCCUUCGGGUUGUGAACCGCUUUCGCCUUUGACGAGGCGUGAGUGACGGUAAUGGGUAAAGAAGCACCGGCUAACUACGCG